GGAUUGACACAUCGGUCGUGCCCUAAGGGGUAUGAACUGGUGUAGUCAAUUUCUCACCUUCUGGAGAACCGCGAUGCCCUUAAUUGGGUGUCACGGGGAACCAGGACCUUUACUUUGAAAAAAUUAGAGUGUUUAAAGCAGGCAUUUUGCUUGAAUACAUUAGCAUGGAAUAAUAAAAUA
rnacentral:rRNA from 1 species